rnacentral:rRNA from 1 species
CCCGGCGACAAGCGGUGGAGUAUGUGGUUAAUUCGAUGCAACGCGAAGAACUUACCUGGUCUUGACAUCCCGGAGACCCUUAGGAAACUAGGGGUGCUUCCAUCUGGAAGAAUCUGGAGACAGGUGCUGCAUGGCUGUCGUCAGCUCGUGUCGUGAGAUGUUGGGUUAAGUCCCGCAACGAGCGCAACCCUUGCCUUUAGUUGCCAGCAGUUCGGCUGGGCACUCUAAAGGGACUGCCGGUGUUAAACCGGAGGAAGGUGGGGAUGACGUCAAGUCCUCAUGGCCUUUAUGACCAGGGCUACACACGUACUACAAUGGCCGAUACAAAGGGCAGCGACACUGCGAGGUGAAGCCAAUCCCGUAAAAUCGGUCUCAGUCCGGAUUGGAGUCUGCAACUCGACUCCAUGAAGUUGGAAUCGCUAGUAAUCGUGGAUCAGCAUGCCACGGUGAAUACGUUCCCGGGCCUU